AUGGUGUUCUCCAAGCACCUGAAGGCUACAGGAUCUCAGAGCAGUGGGGGAGAGGAAGGAAAGAACGAAUGUCCCUUGGAUUCCAGGCAUCAAGUAUUGUCACAGAUCGGCUUUUCUUUUCAUCCCCUCAGUAACACUAAGAAGAGAGUAAAAUUGUCCCACUUCUGCAGAGAGGAAAUUGAAGCUAAGAGAAGUGACUCACCUAAGGUCACUCACACCUGUGUCACCUGCCAGGAGGGACAGAUGGACUACGUGACAGAGGAAGCCCCCACGCGGUAUGGUCUACAUCCACUGGUGUGA
rnacentral:lncRNA from 1 species